UUCUUAAGGGAUGAAAGAUGCAAAACUUCACUUGGCAUGGGAAAUACUUGUUCCACAAGAUUUCAAAUAGGAGUCAUGGGUGAAAGUGAGUCUCUGAAUAUCAUAAAACCUGGGGUCACCAAACAACUUGUGCUGUCUGUGCCAUAUUUACAUGCUACCUGGCUUUGGGCGAAUUGCUUUAUCCAAUAAUUAGUUGCUUCAUCAGGCCGUCAAGACUAAUGGUAUUUUUCCUGCUUAUCUCCCAGGGGUGCAUGGAAAAAACAGG